AACGAACGUUAACGGCGCGCCUAACACAUGCAAGUCGAACGCGACAGGGGCAACUCUGUUGAGUGGCGCACGGGUGAGUAACACGUAGGUAAUCUCCCCCCGAGUGGUGGAUAACCUUCCGAAAGGAGGGCUAAUACAGCAUAAGACCACGGCUUCGAAAGGAGCUGAGGUCAAAGCGGAGGAUGGCAAGACGUCGCGCUUGGGGGUGAGCCUGCGGCCCAUCAGGUAGUUGGCGGGGUAACAGCCCACCAAGCCUAAGACGGGUAGCUGGUCUGAGAGGAUGAUCAGCCACACUGGAACCGAGACACGGUCCAGACUCCUACGGGAGGCAGCAGUGGGGAAUCUUGCGCAAUGGACGAAAGUCUGACGCAGCGACGCCGCGUGGGUGAUGAAGGCCUUCGGGUUGUAAAGCCCUGUGGGGAGGGACGAAUAAGUUUCAGCUAAUACCUGAAGCGAUGACGGUACCUCCUUAGCAAGCACCGGCUAACUCUGUGCCAGCCGCCGCGGUAA
rnacentral:rRNA from 1 species